AAGAAGGCCGCAAAACGAGCUGUUGGUGAAGCAAGGGGUCGGGCAUAUGAGGACCUCUACCAACGGUUAGGCACGAAGGAAGGUGAAAGGGACAUCUAUAAGAUGGCCAAGAUCCGAGAGAGGAAGACGAGGGAUAUUGGCCAAGUCAAAUGCAUCAAGGACGGAGCAGGCCAACUCUUGGUGAAGGACGAGGAGAUUAAGCAUAGAUGGCGGGAGUACUUCGACAAGCUGUUCAAUGAGGAGAAUGAGAGUUCUACCAUUGAACUGGCUGACUCCUUUGAUGAGACCAGCAUGCGUUUUGUGCGGCGAAUCCAAGAGUCUGAGGUGGAGGAGGCUUUAAAAAGGAUGAAAGGAGGCAAGGCGAUGGGCCCUGAUUGUAUCCCCAUUGAGGUGUGGAAAGGUCUCGGGGACAUAGCGAUAGUAUGGCUAACCAAGCUUUUCAACCUCAUUUUUCGGGCAAAUAAGAUGCCAGAAGAAUGGAGACGGAGUAUAUUAGUACCAAUCUUCAAGAACAAGGGGGAUGUUCAAAGUUGUACUAAUUACCGUGGAAUUAAGCUGAUGAGCCAUACAAUGAAGAUAUGGGAGAGAGUCAUUGAGCACCGCUUAAGAAGAAUGACAAGCGUGACCAAAAAUCAGUUUGGUUUCAUGCCUAGGAGGUCGACCAUGGAAGCCAUUUUCUUGGUACAACAAAUUAUGGAGAGAUAUAGGGAGCAAAAGAAGGACUUGCAUAUGGUGUUCAUUGACUUGGAGAAGGCCUAUGAUAAGAUACCGCGGAAUGUCAUGUGGUUGGCCUUGGAGAAACACAAAGUCCCAGCAAAGUACAUUACCCUCAUCAAGGACAUGUACGAUAAUGUUGUGACAAGUGUUCGAACAAGUGAUGUCGACACCGAU
rnacentral:rRNA from 1 species